rnacentral:misc_RNA from 1 species
GGGUAUCAUGCCCUCACGGGUAGAUCUCCACCCUUGAAUAACAUACCUUUGUUGCUUUGGCAGGACGCACUCGCGCCAGGGGCUUCGGCUCUUGAGUGCCUGCCAGAGGACCACAACUCUUGUUUUUAGUGAUGUCUGAGUACUAUAUAAUAGUUAAAACUUUCAACAGCGGAUCUCUUGGUUCU